AUUGAACGCUUGCGGCAGGCUUAACACAUGCAAGUCGAGCGGGGUGAUGGUGCUUGCACUAUCACUUAGCGGCGGACGGGUGAGUAAUGCUUAGGAAUCUGCCUAUUAGUGGGGGACAACAUCUCGAAAGGUAUGCUAAUACCUCAUACGUCCUACGGGAGAAAGCAGGGGAUCACUUUUGACCUUACGCUAAUAGAUGAGCCUAAGUCGGAUUAGCUAGUUGGUGGGGUAAGGGCCUACAAAGGAGAAGAUCUGUAGCGGGUCUGAGAGGAUGAGCCGCCACACUGGGACUGAGACACGGCCCAGAAUCCUACGGGAGGAAGCAGUGGGGAAUAUUGGACAAUGGGGGGAACCCUGAUCCAGCCAUGCCGCGUGUGUGAAGAAGGCCUUAUGGUUGUAAAGCACUUUAAGCGAGGAGGAGGCUCUUUUGGUUAAUACCCAAGAUGAGUGGACGUUACUCGCAGAAUAAGCACCGGCUAACUCUGUGCCAGCCGCCGCGGUAA
rnacentral:rRNA from 1 species